rnacentral:rRNA from 1 species
UACGGAGGGGGCUAGCGUUGUUCGGAAUUACUGGGCGUAAAGCGCACGUAGGCGGCGACUCAAGUCAGAGGUGAAAGCCCAGGGCUCAACCUUGGAAUUGCCUUUGAUACUGGCUGUCUUGAGUAUGGGAGAGGUUAGCGGAACUCCGAGUGUAGAGGUGAAAUUCGUAGAUAUUCGGAAGAACACCAGUGGCGAAGGCGGCUAACUGGCCCAUUACUGACGCUGAGGCUCGAAGGCGUGGGGGAGCAAACAGGAUUAGAACUACCGUAGUAGUC